rnacentral:rRNA from 1 species
UACGUAGGGUGCGAGCGUUGUCCGGAUUUAUUGGGCGUAAAGAGCUUGUAGGCGGCUUGUCGCGUCAUUCGUGAAAACCUGCGGCUCAACUGCAGGCUUGCGGUCGAUACGGGCAGGCUGGAGUUCGGUAGGGGAGACUGGAAUUCCUGGUGUAGCGGUGAAAUGCGCAGAUAUCAGGAGGAACACCGGUGGCGAAGGCGGGUCUCUGGGCCGAUACUGACGCUGAGGAGCGAAAGCCAGGGGAGCGAACGGA